CACGAUGACUGAUGCCUUCUCCCUCCUUCUCUCGCAUUCUCCGUUUCUAACCUCUAUGCACCACUGAGACUUUUGUGUGUUUGUCCUCCCCUAUAGCACACGGUGGAACCGGUUCUGCACAGCUCCAGCACAACGUUGAGACAAAAAGUACAAAUGUUGUACUUUUCCUCACGCAGUUCAUAUCCUUUGUCCACAAGGCAUGUUUUCUCUUCAAAGUCCUGAGCGUGGAGGGGUGAAAAAAAGAGAAAUGGUGUCCGAGGAAGAGGAGACGAGGCAACAGUGGAUCAAAUGUGACCAGACUGGAGUGAAAUAGAGAUGCAUCGCUGCAAGUCAGGAGGGAAAGCACUAACUCCAGAGUGGGGAAGAGGGGAGGGAGAGGAGGAAUCAAGUUGGGAUCGGGAAAGAACCGCGGGAAAAGUCUGCUUCUGCCUAAUAUCUGAGGAGAGCUGACACACUGACAAGGCACUGAUCUCAAGCUCUGCGCGUUAGUGACGGCAGCCCAACAGAGACACAAGACCAUCAGAGCGAGGGAGAGGACACACAGACUCACUCUGACUGGGAAGGAAAAGAAGAGGCUGACUAAGAGCAAACCAGGAGACCAGUCGGUGCCGCAGAAUCCAAAUGUCAGAUGAGGUCAUGUCUUUGUCUCGGUGCAGCCACCCUGCGGUUCCUCCUUCAAUACUUUUUAUCUCUGCGUCCCCUUUCUUGUACUUUUUCUUAUUAGACCCUUCCUCCUUUAAUUUGUCAGUAUGCCCCUCUGUCCCUGAGACCCUUAACCUGUGAGGUCAAAGUAGGUCACAGGUGAGGUCCUCGGGAACAGGGCUGCAUUCAGUUUCAACGGCCUACGAUUAAGAAUAUGACGUGAUGAAGUAUCCGUGUUUCCUUCUCAAUGUUCACUCAAACCACAUGAAACAGAAGAAAAGUCUCAGAAGCUACAAUGUAACGUUUCUUCUGGCUCUGAUGUAUUUCAGUACCCAGCUGUGUUCUUCAUGUUGACUGUUUCAGUAUGUUUACCUGUCAUGUGAUGAUCAAGAAGAAGACCCCUCUUGCUGCAGCAGACACUCUCAGGGGGCCAUCCCUAUUGGCUGGCUUUGUGUCUGAGCCCUCAAUGGGGGCCAAUAGAAAGACAGCCAAGGGUUGUGACCCCGCCAUUUUUGUCGCCUUGUGGAGUUAUUUAUCAUCAUGUAAAUGUUCUGUACUGGAAACGUUGCUCUGUAAUUACCUCUGUAUGUUAAUAAAACGUGGCAAAAAAUGUU